GACGAACGCUGGCGGCGUGCUUAACACAUGCAAGUCGAACGGAAAGGCCCUGCUUUUGUGGGGUGCUCGAGUGGCGAACGGGUGAGUAACACGUGAGUAACCUGCCCUUGACUUUGGGAUAACUUCAGGAAACUGGGGCUAAUACCGGAUAGGAGCUCCUGCUGCAUGGUGGGGGUUGGAAAGUUUCGGCGGUUGGGGAUGGACUCGCGGCUUAUCAGCUUGUUGGUGGGGUAGUGGCUUACCAAGGCUUUGACGGGUAGCCGGCCUGAGAGGGUGACCGGAGAGGGCGGGAGGGGGCAGCGGGCGAAGGUGGGGGGGGGGGAGGGAGGGAGGAAUGGUGCACGGCGGGCGGAAGUGGGGGGGAGGGAGGGGGGGGGGGGGAUGUGGGGCUGCGGGUGGUAGAGUGCUUGAGUCGGUGAGGAGGGGGGAGUGAGGGUAAUGAAAAAAGAACCACUGACCAACGACGUGAGAGCAGGUGAAGUACAAGAGCGAACAGCCUAAAAUCAUA
rnacentral:rRNA from 1 species